rnacentral:rRNA from 1 species
AAGGGAGAGUAACGGGUGGUUACUUACCCUCAGGACCGGAAUAGUGUCGGGAAACUGACAGUAAUGCCGGAUAAUAUCUUUGGAUCAAAGGUGUGAUUCCGCCUGGGGAUAGGACCGCUUUCUAUUAGCUUGUUGGCGGGGUAAUGGCCCACCAAGGCUGAGAUGGAUACCGGGUGUGAGAGCAUGGCCCGGCUCACUGGGACUGAGACACUGCCCAGACACCUACGGGUGGCUGCAGUCGAGAAUCUUCGGCAAUGGGCGAAAGCCUGACCGAGCGACGCCGCGUGCGGGAUGAAGGCCUUCGGGUUGUAAACCGCUGUCAGUUGGGAGGAAGGUGCUGUGAAGAGCAGCAUUUGACCGAUCUUCAGAGGAAGGACGGGCUAAGUUCGUGCCAGCAGCCGCGGUAAGACGAACCGUCCGAACGUUAUUCGGUAUCACUGGGCUUAAAGAGUUCGUAGGCGGCCUAGCAGGUGAGGUGUGAAAUCCGACGGCUCAACCGUUGAAUUGCGCUUCAAACCACUAGGCUCGAGGAUGGCAGGGGUGUUGGGAACAGAUGGUGGAGCGGUGAAAUGCGUUGA